AAGAGCUCGGAGAGCCGAGGCUUGUCUCGUAAGACGCGCCUAGUUCAAACUGUUUCCAGGGUAAUUCAAUCGAAGGUCAGCCAGCUGCCUCUGCUGGGAGCCAGCUCCGCUUGCUCUGCCAGUCGCACUGGUGCCCAAGGAGAUGCAGCUUCCUUCAGCCUUGGGUAGCAGCCCCAAGCUUAAGCAAAGCAGAGCAGAGAGAGGUGGUGACUUGAACCCCAGCAAAUUAUCUCAGAAGGGUGUCACUCAUUGUCGAGACUGCUCUGCCAGCAGCUACGCGACGCCUGGGGAUGCCAGCGCAAGAGAGAAAAUGACAUUUUCAGAAAGAUGUCAUUUCUUUUUCAACACUGCAAACAUCCACCCAUCUGUCACAAAUGCUUGUCGGCACUCCAGCAUCUCUGUAUCAGUCACACAAGGAGUACACCUCAGCACAAAGAAAUUUAUCAAGUUAAUGGUAUCAAUCAUACGCCAGUUUGCAUUAUUUAUGAGUGCCAGAGACAUCUUUUCACCCCUUACUAUCAGGUUUGGGUUUUUAUUUUAAACUUAUCUUAGAUAAAAGAGCGGGAGAAAACACAAGUGGGGAGAUAGGGCUGAAGUGACUCUGGAAGACCAAGCUAGCUUGCUGUCAGAUCACAGAAUCAGAGGUGGAAUGCUUAGAGCCACACAUAGCUAAUUGCUCCCCAGAUCAUUCCACAGACUGUUUUUGUCUGAAACUCAGGCUGGUACCUUUUGUCGGUAUUGGAAGAUGCUGAUCCCAUACAGAAGACGACACCAUGUGGUUUG